AUGAAUUGCUGCAAUUUGCUAGUCUGGAAUGUCAGGGGUCUCAAUUCGGUUGCUAGAAGAGCUGCUGUUCGUGCGAUUGUUAAGCAAAAUGUUAUUAGUAUGAUUUGCUUGCAAGAAACAAAGAUGUCAACCUUUGAUUCCAGUCUGGUCUCUGAAAUCUGUGGUCCUAGGUUCACUGGCUUUGCUUUCUCCCCCUCUGAAGGUGCUAGUGGAGAUUUUCUUGUUGCAUGG
rnacentral:rRNA from 1 species